CAAUCCUGUUCCUAGAUGUUCAGAACUAAGCCUUUAGUUCCCUCUUUUUGUCCGAAAAGGUUCAUGUCCUUAUCAGUGCCGCUGUGCUGUCCGCCGUAGAAAUGACUUGAUAGAAUUGCAAAGGGUUAAUGAAAGCGUAGGGCAUUAUGGGAGAGGCAGUGGGCGGGAUCAUGCCAAUUUCAUGCCAAUGGGGAGACAGGAAAAAGUCGAACCUCCACAGUGAACAAAUAUACGUAAAAUCUAGGAUUAAAUUGUCUCUAUAUGAAUGUUUCUAAUUGGGUGUUAAAAAAUAUUGGGUUUGUUGAGCACAUUGGCAGGGGUUGCCGAGUGGAGAGUUCAAAGACGUUUCCAGGCGCUUUUGCGUAUUCACGGCACUCCCAGUAACGUGAAAGAUCCUCGGAAGGAGGGACCUGGGCAGCUCAGAAAGCGUUUGGUUCGAAUCCAACCCGGGGAGAGCUCUAUCAGCUCCAGCUCCAUGCGAGGACAUGAGAGAAGCCUCCCACAAGGAUGGUAAAAACAUCAAAACAUCCGGGCAAUGCGACUUGCAGUUUCUCAAGUUGCUCCUGACACAAAGAAGAAAGGUUAUCGAGCCCCCUGUGCUGCAGAAUUGUUAGGUUUUACUGAGUCAUGCACUGCUAAUGGGCUUCUAUUGGGAAUCAUUUGGGGAAUGUGUUUGGGCCUACUCUAGGUGAUUGUCAAUGAUGCAAUCCUGAGUUUGGGUUGGGUUAAUUAGUUGGUAACCAAUCAGUGAUUACUAUGUGUAUGUAUUGUAUAUAAGGAACCAUGUUCAGUGUAUUUUCCCCCCCCUUUCCUUUCCUUUUCGAUGUCGUGACGUCUAUAUGUAAUUAAACCUACUACUACUUGGACAAGAUACUACGUUCUGUGGUGAGUCUGUAAUAUCAUCUAGACUGGGGGAAAGACAGUAGUAAAAAACUGACAAUGGCCGGGCAUGUGCUCAAGAGUCUACUAUGGAAGCAGACAGAAAGUACUGAGCAGACGUAAGCUACUGGAAGGCGCAGAGACUCUGCAAGCAUAAAGUUAAGUCUUAACAAGAAUCCAUGGUACAAAUAAGUAAUAAAGAUCAAACUGCAAAGACUCUAGCACAAGCCAGCAAGGGUGGUCCCAGUGGUGAUUGGCAUACUUGGUGCAGUGCCUAAAGAACAGCAUUUGAAAACAAUCGGUGCUGACAAAAUCACUAUCUAUCAGCUGCAAAAGGCCACACUAUUCAGAUGUGCAUUCAUUAUUCACAGACCCUUGGGAAGUGUCCAAUGUGUUAUCCAAUACAAAAGCCAGCAUCGUGAUCUUAUUUGCUAUGUACUUAUCUUAUUGUGUAUCAUAAUAAUAAUAAUAAUAAUAAUAAUAAUAAUAAUAAUAAUAAUGGGAAUGUCCCCCCUCGCAGGUGCCACCUUGACGUGGUGGAGGGGCUUAACUGCUGCAAUGAUGACAACUAUGUGGCUCAAAUAAUUCAUUGGAACUUAUGCCUCAAGUACCACCUCCCAGCAGCAAAGAACUGGUGGGAUCACAAACCUGCAAAAGUAUUGGAAAAUGAGCACGCAAAGAUACUGUGGGACUUCCAAAUCCAGACUGACAAAGUUCUGGAACACAACACACCAGACAUCACAGUUGUGGAAAAGAAAAAGGUUUGGAUCAUUGAUGUUGCCAUCCCAGGUGACAGUCACAUUGACGAAAAACAACAGGAAAAACUCAGGACCUCAAGAUUGAACUUCAAAGACUCUGGCAGAAACCAGUACAGGUAGUCCCGGUGGUGAUCGGCACAUUGGGUGCCGGGCUAAAAGAUCUCAGCCGGCAUUUGGAAACAAUAGACAUUGACAAAAUUACGAUCUGCCAACUGCAAAAGGCCACCCUGCUGGGAUCUGCACACAUCAUCCGAAAAUACAUCACACACUCCUAGACACUUGGGAAGUGUUCGACUUGUGAUUUUGUGAUAUGAAAUCUAGCAUAUCUAUCUUGUUUGCUGUGUCAUAAUAAAAUAAUAAUAAUAAUAAUAA